rnacentral:tRNA from 1 species
GUCCAAGGCAGCCUAGUGGACAUGGCAUCUGCCCGGUAAGCGGAACACUGUGGGUUCGAUUCCCAUCCCUGGACA